GCCCCCACAAGAAAAUUUCUUAAAAAUGUACAGAAAAAGAACUAAGGAGGGAAUCAAGAUGGUGUACUACGAAAAACUCAACUGAACUCCAAAGAAGGCGGCGACAGAGGAACUGAGGGACAAAAAGGAGGGUCCUUUGGGAGAUGACUAAGUCAUGAGAGCAGAGCCCUUGUGAAUGGGAUGGAUGCCUUAUAAAAGAGGCCUGAUGGAGCUUGUAUGCCCCUUUUCUUGCCCUUCUGCCAUGUGAAGAGACCUAGAAGGUACUACCUCUGAGGAACAGGCCCUCGCCAAAUAACAAAUGUGCUGGCAUCUUGAUCUUGGACUUCCCAGCUUCCAGAACUGUGAGCAGUAAAUUUCUGUUGUUUAUGAAUUA